UGCGAACUCCUACGGGAGGCAGCAGUGGGGAAUUUUGGACAAUGGGGGCAACCCUGAUCCAGCAAUGCCGCGGGAGUGAAGAAGGCCUUCGGGUUGUAAAGCUCUUUUGUCAGGGAAGAAACGGUAGUAGCUAAUAUCUAUUACUAAUGACGGUAACUGAAGAAUAAGCACCGGCUAACUACGUGCCAGCAGCCGCGGUAAUACGUAGGGUGCAAGCGUGAAUCGGAAUUACUGGGCGUAAAGCGUGCGCAGGCGGUUGUGUAAGUCAGAUGUGAAAUCCCCGGGCUCAACCUGGGAAUUGCAUUUGAGACUGCACCGCUAGAGUGUGGCAGAGGGAGGUAGAAGUCCACGUGUAGCAGUGAAAUGCGUAGAUAUGUGGAGGAAUACCGAUGGCGAAGGCAGCCCCCUGGGAUAACACUGACGCUCAUGCACGAAAGCGUGGGGAGCAAACAGGAUUAGAAGCCCUGGUAGUCCAGAUG
rnacentral:rRNA from 1 species